rnacentral:lncRNA from 10 species
UUGUAGAGAAGCGGUCUCCCUAUGUUGCUCCAAAUCUCUAUCCUGUUUAUUUUAUUUUUAGUUUAUUUAUUGGCUACCUUAAUCUCUUUGUUGCAUGUUAGAGGCUUCCUUACAUACUAAUGACACCUGCCAGAUUACAUUUUCUUGAGCGAGACACUAAAUUGCAGACUGAAGGUUCUGGGUCUAGGAGUGAAGCAAGGCUUUUGACUGACAUGUGUCAAUAUGAGGUGACCUGAUGGCCAGCUGCCUUUCCCAACAGGGAUGCUCCCAGUCAGUACCUGCUAGUCUUUCCUGUUGGUGGUGCUAGCUUUCCAAGGAAGGCUUCUCUCAACUCCUUCUUGAGAAGUACCAGCAUGGCUGAUAAACUCUGGAACUGGGCACUGUUCAAUCAGAAGACUUGCACUUGGUCUACUUAUUUUUGGU